CGGCGCUAAUACCUCAUAAUGCAGCGGAUCCGCAUGGAUAUGUUGUUAAAGGUUUACGCCUUGGGAUAGGCUUGCGUCUGAUUAGCUAGUUGGUGUGGUAACGGCACACCAAGGCUACGAUCAGUAACUGGUCUGAGAGGAUGAUCAGUCACACUGGAACUGAGACACGGUCCAGACUCCUACGGGAGGCAGCAGUGAGGAAUAUUGGGCAAUGCUCGAAAGAGUGACCCAGCAACGCCGCGUGGAGGAUGAAGGUAUUCUAUAUCGUAAACUCCUGUGAGAGCAGACGAAAGACAGAUUAUUAAUCUGGAUGACUGUAUGCUCAGAGGAAGCCCCGGCUAACUACGUG
rnacentral:rRNA from 1 species